GUGGCUGCAUGGAAUUAUACAGACGGACCAUUUUCUAGACAUCCCAAUUCUGAGCAAGAGCUGUGAUUAGUGGGGCAGUGUCUAUGAGCAUUUGCUUGGCAGAGGGAAGUAGGAAGGGUUCAUUGGUUCCUCUCUUUGUCUCAAGUACCGCAAACCAUGGUAGGAGAGAAGGCUUAAUGCAGUCAUUAAACUUCAGGGACCACUUAUCCAGCCAAUCGCAGGCUGGAGUGGGUGCAGCUGUGGAAAUGAUCUCUCUGUUGCUCUCCCUCUCUGGCUACCCCAGUUUCUGGAUAUAUGCGUAACACAGGAGAAGCUGGAUAUGCACAGCUUCUGCAACAAAAGAGGGCACAAAAGAGAAGAUGCCAAGGAUAAAGAGGGCAGUCGAACUCUGUGUUAAGAAUAACUUCCAGUAUCUAAAUUAACGAUUCUUUGAUAGACCUCUGGGGUCUGUUCCCUUACUCUGGAUGACAGUGUCUCUACCGUGGGGAAGUACAUCUAAAACCAAGGAAGGAUGUUUUCAUUGAACCAGCGCUGCAGAUGAACACAGGCUUCUGGAACAUUCCUGUGAAAUGUGUGGCAGUUGGUAAUUUGCGCAUAAGCAUUAAAGAAUCACCAUGUCGCCCGGAGGAGAAUUUCCAACUCUGUCAGAAAAAGACUUUACAGAUACAUGAAAGGUGGAGCUGAGACUCCCACGAGCACAGCCAGCAUGGUUUGCCACGGCAGUGGUUUGACUGGGUGACACUUGCCAACGACACAGAAAGGCUGACAUCGUCUAAACCAUAAAUCAAAGGAUGAGCGCUCAGAACACUUCCUGGAGGAUCUCCACCCAGGUCCAGACCAACAGAUUUCUAGAAGCACGAGCUCUCAGGCGUAACAAGUGCAUGUGAAGAAAGGUGUCACUUCCAGAAAGGUGUUCCCAAGACACAGCAAGAGCAGCGAGAGCACCAACACACUGAUGUGCGUGCAGUUUAGGAAAGAAAAGAAAUAGAACACCAAAGAAACAGUUGGCACAAAUUUUUCAAACAGUUGAAAG